rnacentral:rRNA from 1 species
GGGUUGUGAGGUUAAGCGACUAAGCGUACACGGUGGAUGCCCUGGCAGUCAGAGGCGAUGAAGGACGUGCUAAUCUGCGAUAAGCGUCGGUAAGGUGAUAUGAACCGUUAUAACCGGCGAUUUCCGAAUGGGGAAACCCAGUGUGAUUCGUCACACUAUCAUUAACUGAAUCCAUAGGUUAAUGAGGCGAACCGGGGGAACUGAAACAUCUAAGUACCCCGAGGAAAAGAAAUCAACCGAGAUUCCCCAGUAGCGGCGAGCGAACGGGGAGCAGCCCAGAGCCUGAAUCAGUGUGUGUGUUAGUGGAAGCGUCUGGAAAGGCGUGCGAUACAGGGUGACAGCCCCGUACACAAAAAUGCACAUACUGUGAGCUCGAUGAGUAGGGCGGGACACGUGGUAUCCUGUCUGAAUAUGGGGGGACCAUCCUCCAAGGCUAAAUACUCCUGACUGACCGAUAGUGAACCAGUACCGUGAGGGAAAGGCGAAAAGAACCCCGGCGAGGGGAGUGAAAAAGAACCUGAAACCGUGUACGUACAAGCAGUGGGAGCACGCUUAGGCGUGUGACUGCGUACCUUUUGUAUAAUGGGUCAGCGACUUAUAUUCUGUAGCAAGGUUAACCGAAUAGGGGAGCCGAAGGGAAACCGAGUCUUAACUGGGCGUUAAGUUGCAGGGUAUAGACCCGAAACCCGGUGAUCUAGCCAUGGGCAGGUUGAAGGUUGGGUAACACUAACUGGAGGACCGAACCGACUAAUGUUGAAAAAUUAGCGGAUGACUUGUGGCUGGGGGUGAAAGGCCAAUCAAACCGGGAGAUAGCUGGUUCUCCCCGAAAGCUAUUUAGGUAGCGCCUCGUGAAUUCAUCUCCGGGGGUAGAGCACUGUUUCGGCAAGGGGGUCAUCCCGACUUACCAACCCGAUGCAAACUGCGAAUACCGGAGAAUGUUAUCACGGGAGACACACGGCGGGUGCUAACGUCCGUCGUGAAGAGGGAAACAACCCAGACCGCCAGCUAAGGUCCCAAAGUCAUGGUUAAGUGGGAAACGAUGUGGGAAGGCCCAGACAGCCAGGAUGUUGGCUUAGAAGCAGCCAUCAUUUAAAGAAAGCGUAAUAGCUCACUGGUCGAGUCGGCCUGCGCGGAAGAUGUAACGGGGCUAAACCAUGCACCGAAGCUGCGGCAGCGACGCUUAUGCGUUGUUGGGUAGGGGAGCGUUCUGUAAGCCUGUGAAGGUGUGCUGUGAGGUAUGCUGGAGGUAUCAGAAGUGCGAAUGCUGACAUAAGUAACGAUAAAGCGGGUGAAAAGCCCGCUCGCCGGAAGACCAAGGGUUCCUGUCCAACGUUAAUCGGGGCAGGGUGAGUCGACCCCUAAGGCGAGGCCGAAAGGCGUAGUCGAUGGGAAACAGGUUAAUAUUCCUGUACUUGGUGUUACUGCGAAGGGGGGACGGAGAAGGCUAUGUUGGCCGGGCGACGGUUGUCCCGGUUUAAGCGUGUAGGCUGGUUUUCCAGGCAAAUCCGGAAAAUCAAGGCCGAGGCGUGAUGACGAGGCACUACGGUGCUGAAGCAACAAAUGCCCUGCUUCCAGGAAAAGCCUCUAAGCAUCAGGUAACAUCAAAUCGUACCCCAAACCGACACAGGUGGUCAGGUAGAGAAUACCAAGGCGCUUGAGAGAACUCGGGUGAAGGAACUAGGCAAAAUGGUGCCGUAACUUCGGGAGAAGGCACGCUGAUACGUAGGUGAAGCGACUUGCUCGUGGAGCUGAAAUCAGUCGAAGAUACCAGCUGGCUGCAACUGUUUAUUAAAAACACAGCACUGUGCAAACACGAAAGUGGACGUAUACGGUGUGACGCCUGCCCGGUGCCGGAAGGUUAAUUGAUGGGGUUAGCGCAAGCGAAGCUCUUGAUCGAAGCCCCGGUAAACGGCGGCCGUAACUAUAACGGUCCUAAGGUAGCGAAAUUCCUUGUCGGGUAAGUUCCGACCUGCACGAAUGGCGUAAUGAUGGCCAGGCUGUCUCCACCCGAGACUCAGUGAAAUUGAACUCGCUGUGAAGAUGCAGUGUACCCGCGGCAAGACGGAAAGACCCCGUGAACCUUUACUAUAGCUUGACACUGAACAUUGAGCCUUGAUGUGUAGGAUAGGUGGGAGGCUUUGAAGUGUGGACGCCAGUCUGCAUGGAGCCGACCUUGAAAUACCACCCUUUAAUGUUUGAUGUUCUAACGUGGACCCGUGAUCCGGGUUGCGGACAGUGUCUGGUGGGUAGUUUGACUGGGGCGGUCUCCUCCUAAAGAGUAACGGAGGAGCACGAAGGUUGGCUAAUCCUGGUCGGACAUCAGGAGGUUAGUGCAAUGGCAUAAGCCAGCUUGACUGCGAGCGUGACGGCGCGAGCAGGUGCGAAAGCAGGUCAUAGUGAUCCGGUGGUUCUGAAUGGAAGGGCCAUCGCUCAACGGAUAAAAGGUACUCCGGGGAUAACAGGCUGAUACCGCCCAAGAGUUCAUAUCGACGGCGGUGUUUGGCACCUCGAUGUCGGCUCAUCACAUCCUGGGGCUGAAGUAGGUCCCAAGGGUAUGGCUGUUCGCCAUUUAAAGUGGUACGCGAGCUGGGUUUAGAACGUCGUGAGACAGUUCGGUCCCUAUCUGCCGUGGGCGCUGGAGAACUGAGGGGGGCUGCUCCUAGUACGAGAGGACCGGAGUGGACGCAUCACUGGUGUUCGGGUUGUCAUGCCAAUGGCACUGCCCGGUAGCUAAAUGCGGAAGAGAUAAGUGCUGAAAGCAUCUAAGCACGAAACUUGCCCCGAGAUGAGUUCUCCCUGACCCUUUAAGGGUCCUGAAGGAACGUUGAAGACGACGACGUUGAUAGGCCGGGUGUGUAAGCGCAGCGAUGCGUUGAGCUAACCGGUACUAAUGAACCGUGAGGCUUAACCUUACAACGCCGAAG